rnacentral:rRNA from 1 species
UGCAUAUCAAUAAGCGGAGGAAAAGAAACCAACCGGGAUUGCCUUAGUAACGGCGAGUGAAGCGGCAAAAGCUCAAAUUUGAAAUCUGGUACCUUCGGUGCCCGAGUUGUAAUUUGGAGAGGGCAACUUUGGGGCCGUUCCUUGUCUAUGUUCCUUGGAACAGGACGUCAUAGAGGGUGAGAAUCCCGUGUGGCGAGGAGUGCGGUUCUUUGUAAAGUGCCUUCGAAGAGUCGAGUUGUUUGGGAAUGCAGCUCUAAGUGGGUGGUAAAUUCCAUCUAAAGCUAAAUAUUGGCGAGAGACCGAUAGCGAACAAGUACAGUGAUGGAAAGAUGAAAAGAACUUUGAAAAGAGAGUGAAAAAGUACGUGAAAUUGUUGAAAGGGAAGGGCAUUUGAUCAGACAUGGUGUUUUGUGCCCUCUGCUCCUUGUGGGUAGGGGAAUCUCGCAUUUCACUGGGCCAGCAUCAGUUUUGGUGGCAGGAUAAAUCCAUAGGAAUGUAGCUUGCCUCGGUAAGUAUUAUAGCCUGUGGGAAUACUGCCAGCUGGGACUGAGGACUGCGACGUAAGUCAAGGAUGCUGCAUAAGAGGGUAU